rnacentral:rRNA from 1 species
UACGGAAGGGGCGAGCGUUGUUCGGAAUCAUUGGGCGUAAAGGGCGCGUAGGUGGUUCUGUAUGUCUACCGUGAAAGCGUACGGCUCAACCGUAUUUUGUCGGUAGAAACUGCAGGACUUUGAGGCUGGGAGGGGCUGGUGGAAUUCCCUGUGUAGCGGUGAAAUGCGUAGAGAUGGGGGAGAACACUCGUGGCGAAGGCGGCCAGCUAGACCAGUUCUGACACUGAGGCGCGACAGCGUGGGGGAGCAAACAGG